rnacentral:rRNA from 1 species
AUGACGCAUGCCCUUAGUGAUAAAUAUCUAGGUGUGCCAGCAAAUGUUUGGAUAGAUAAAACAAAUGGUUUACAAUUUUUAAUUGAACGUAUUGUCAAAAGAAUUAAUGGCUGGAAGGAAAAAUUACUGUCUACCGGGGGAAAGGAAAUCCCGAUCAAGGUUGUGAUCCAACUACCCACCUAUGCAAUGUCGGUCUUUAAAAUUAGUAAUUUUUUUUGCAAAGGAAUCAUCGACGCGAUAGCGCAUUUCUGGUGGGGAGACGAGGAGAAUCAGAGGAGGAUGCACUGGAUGGCCUGAUGGAAAUAAUGUGUACCAAAAAAUCAAGGAGGGAUGGGCUUUUGUGAUAUUCACUAUUUUAAUUUGGCAUUGUUAGCCAAAUAAGCAUGGCGUCUUCUGGAUAAUCCUGAUUCUUUGUGUGCUUCUAUCCUAAGGGCAAAAUAUUACCCCCAUGGCGAUAUGUUAAAUGCUAAGCUCAAGAAAGGUUCUUCCUUUACAUGGCAAAGCAUCAUGGCAGGCAUAAAUACUCUGAAACGUGGUUAUAUUUGGCGAGUCGGGAACGGGCAUAACAUUAAUAUUUGA